GCUGUGGCUCAGUGGUAGAACAUCUGUUUUGCAUGCCAAUGGUCCCAGGUUGAAUCCCUGGCAUCUUCA